rnacentral:rRNA from 1 species
UACGUAGGGUGCAAGCGUUGUCCGGAAUUAUUGGGCGUAAAGAGCUCGUAGGCGGUUUGUUGCGUCGGCUGUGAAAUCCCGAGGCUCAACCUCGGGUCUGCAGUCGAUACGAGCAAACUAGAGUGUUGCAGGGGAGACUGGAAUUCCUGGUGUAGCGGUGAAAUGCGCAGAUAUCAGGAGGAACACCGGUGGCGAAGGCGGGUCUCUGGGCAACAACUGACGCUGGAGGAGCGAAAGCGUGGGGAACGAACAGG